rnacentral:rRNA from 1 species
CCUACGGGUGGCAGCAGUGGGGAAUAUUGGACAAUGGGCGAAAGCCUGAUCCAGCCAUGCCGCGUGUGUGAAGAAGGCCUUCGGGUUGUAAAGCACUUUCAGUGGGGAAGAAAGCCUUGGGGCUAAUACCCUCGAGGAAGGACAUCACCCACAGAAGAAGCACCGGCUAACUCCGUGCCAGCAGCCGCGGUAAUACGGAGGGUGCGAGCGUUAAUCGGAAUUACUGGGCGUAAAGCGCGCGUAGGCGGUCUGAUAAGCCGGUUGUGAAAGCCCCGGGCUCAACCUGGGAACGGCAUCCGGAACUGUCAGGCUAGAGUGCUGGAGAGGAAGGUAGAAUUCCCGGUGUAGCGGUGAAAUGCGUAGAGAUCUGGAGGAAUACCAGUGGCGAAGGCGGCCUUCUGGACUGACACUGACGCUGAGGUGCGAAAGCGUGGGUAGCAAACAGGAUUAGAUACCCGUGUAGUC